rnacentral:rRNA from 1 species
CCUACGGGAGGCUGCAGUGGGGAAUAUUGGACAAUGGGGGGAACCCUGAUCCAGCGACGCCGCGUGAGUGAAGAAGUAUUUCGGUAUGUAAAGCUCUAUCAGCAGGGAAGAAAGAAAUGACGGUACCUGAUUAAGAAGCCCCGGCUAACUACGUGCCAGCAGCCGCGGUAAUACGUAGGGGGCAAGCGUUAGCCGGAUUUACGGGGUGUAAAGGGAGCGUAGAUGGCGAUGCAAGUCUGAAGUGAAAGGCUGGGGCCCAACCCCCGGACUGCUUUGGAAACUGUAUGGCUGGAGUGCAGGAGAGGUAAGUGGAAUUCCUAGUGUAGCGGUGAAAUGCGUAGAUAUUAGGAGGAACACCAGUGGCGAAGGCGGCUUACUGGACUGUAACUGACGUUGAGGCUCGAAAGCGUGGGGAGCAAACAGGAUUAGAUACCCCGGUAGUC